rfam:Patagioenas fasciata monilis isolate BTP2013 Sc31e1R_4773, whole genome shotgun sequence.
GCUAGUGUGGCAGAGUUUGGUAAAUGCAAAAGGUUUAAGCCCUUUACUCAGAGGUUGAAGUCCUCUCCCUAGCU